rnacentral:rRNA from 1 species
UUGCAUAUCAAUAAGCGGAGGAAAAGAAACCAACAGGGAUUGCCCUAGUAACGGCGAGUGAAGCGGCAACAGCUCAAAUUUGAAAGCUAGCCUUCGGGUUCGCAUUGUAAUUUGUAGAGGAUGAUUUGGGGAAGCCGCCUGUCUAAGUUCCUUGGAACAGGACGUCAUAGAGGGUGAGAAUCCCGUAUGUGACAGGAAAUGGCACCCUAUGUAAAUCUCCUUCGACGAGUCGAGUUGUUUGGGAAUGCAGCUCUAAAUGGGAGGUAAAUUUCUUCUAAAGCUAAAUAUUGGCGAGAGACCGAUAGCGCACAAGUAGAGUGAUCGAAAGAUGAAAAGCACUUUGGAAAGAGAGUUAAAAAGCACGUGAAAUUGUUGAAAGGGAAGCGCUYGCAAUCAGACUUGUUUAAACUGUUCGGCCGGUCUUCUGACCGGUUUACUCAGUUUGGACAGGCCAGCAUCAGUUUCGGCGGCCGGAUAAAGGCUCUGGGAAUGUGGCCUCCACUUCGGUGGAGGUGUUAUAGCCCAGGGUGUAAUACGGCCAGCCGGGACUGAGGUCCGCGCUUCGGCUAGGAUGCUGGCGUAAUGGUUGUAAGCGACCCGUCUUGAACAACGGACCAA